UACGUAGGGGUGCGAGCGUUUGUCCGGAAUUAUUGGGCGUAAAGGGCUCGUAGGCGGUUUGUCGCGUCGGGAGUGAAAACCUCGGGCUUAACUCGGGGCUUGCUUUCGAUACGGGCAGACUAGAGGUAUGCAGGGGAGAACGGAAUUCCUGGUGUAGCGGUGAAAUGCGCAGAUAUCAGGAGGAACACCGGUGGCGAAGGCGGUUCUCUGGGCAUGAUCUGACGCUGAGGAGCGAAAGUGUGGGGAGCGAACAGG
rnacentral:rRNA from 1 species